rnacentral:rRNA from 1 species
UACGUAGGGUGCAGGCGUUAAUCGGAAUUACUGGGCGUAAAGCGUGCGCAGGCAGUCUGUUAAGACCGAUGUGAAAGCCCCGGGCUUAACCUGGGAACUGCGUUUGAUACGGCAGGGCUAGAGUUCGGGAGAGGAGAGUGGAAUUCCCAGUGUAGAGGUGAAAUUCGUAGAUAUUGGGAAGAACACCGGUGGCGAAGGCGGCUCUCUGGACCGAUACUGACGCUGAGGCGCGAAAGCGUGGGGAGCAAACAGG